rnacentral:rRNA from 1 species
UAGGGAAUCUUCGGCAAUGGACGAAAGUCUGCCCGAGCAACGCCGCGGGGGUGAAGAAGUUUUUCGGAUCUUAAAACUCUUUUGUUAGAGAAGAACAAGGACGUUAGUAACUGAACGUCCCCUGCCGUUAUCUAACCAGAAAGCCCCGGCUAACUACGUGCCAGCAGCCGCGGUAAUACGUAGGUGGCAAGCUUUGUCCGGAUUUAUUGGGCGUAAAGCGAGCGCAGGCGGUUUCUUAAGUCUGAUGUGAAAGCCCCCGGCUCAACCGGGGAGGGUCAUUGGAAACUGGGAGACUUGAGUGCAGAAGAGGAGAGUGGAAUUCCAUGUGUAGCGGUGAAAUGCGUAGAUAUAUGGAGGAACACCAGUGGCGAAGGCGGCUCUCUGGUCUGUAACUGACGCUGAGGCUCGAAAGCGUGGGGAGCAAACAGG